rnacentral:tRNA from 1 species
GGAAGGAUGGCCGAGUGGUUAUGGCGUGUGACUCAAGCUUUGUGCUUCUUCGCCUUCCAAGGUGGGGUUUCUCAUGGGCUUAGCCCGCGGGGGUUCGAAUCCCCCUCCUUUCA